rnacentral:rRNA from 1 species
GGAAAGGCGCGCGAUACAGGGUGACAGCCCCGUACACAAAAAUGCACAUGCUGUGAGCUCGAUGAGUAGGGCGGGACACGUGGUAUCCUGUCUGAAUAUGGGGGGACCAUCCUCCAAGGCUAAAUACUCCUGACUGACCGAUAGUGAACCAGUACCGUGAGGGAAAGGCGAAAAGAACCCCGGCGAGGGGAGUGAAAAAGAACCUGAAACCGUGUACGUACAAGCAGUGGGAGCACGCUUAGGCGUGUGACUGCGUACCUUUUGUAUAAUGGGUCAGCGACUUAUAUUCUGUAGCAAGGUUAACCGAAUAGGGGAGCCGAAGGGAAACCGAGUCUUAACUGGGCGUUAAGUUGCAGGGUAUAGACCCGAAACCCGGUGAUCUAGCCAUGGGCAGGUUGAAGGUUGGGUAACACUAACUGGAGGACCGAACCGACUAAUGUUGAAAAAUUAGCGGAUGACUUGUGGCUGGGGGUGAAAGGCCAAUCAAACCGGGAGAUAGCUGGUUCUCCCCGAAAGCUAUUUAGGUAGCGCCUCGUGAAUUCAUCUCCGGGGGUAGAGCACUGUUUCGGCAAGGGGGUCAUCCCGACUUACCAACCCGAUGCAAACUGCGAAUACCGGAGAAUGUUAUCACGGGAGACACACGGCGGGUGCUAACGUCCGUCGUGAAGAGGGAAACAACCCAGACCGCCAGCUAAGGUCCCAAAGUCAUGGUUAAGUGGGAAACGAUGUGGGAAGGCCCAGACAGCCAGGAUGUUGGCUUAGAAGCAGCCAUCAUUUAAAGAAAGCGUAAUAGCUCACUGGUCGAGUCGGCCUGCGCGGAAGAUGUAACGGGGCUAAACCAUGCACCGAAGCUGCGGCAGCGA